AAAAAAGCAAACCGUGGGUUUGCGUGCCAACGUUUGACUGUCCGUCUUAUAUGAAAUUUUUUAAUAAUUAGUAUUUUUAUUGUUGUUAGAUGAUAAAAUAUGAUUAAUACUUUAUGCGUGACUUAUUUUUUUAAUUUUUUUCAUAUUUUUUUUAAAUAAGACGGACGGUCAAACGUUGGACACGGAAACCAGGGUUUGUCUUUUU
rnacentral:pre_miRNA from 1 species